UGGGGAAUAUUGCACAAUGGGGGAAACCCUGAUGCAGCGACGCCGCGUGAACGAAGAAGGUAUUCGUAUCGUAAAGUUCUGUCCUAUGGGAAGAUAAUGACAGUACCAUAGAAGAAAGCUCCGGCUAAAUACGUGCCAGCAGCCGCGGUAAUACGUAUGGAGCGAGCGUUGUCCGGAAUUAUUGGGCGUAAAGGGUACGCAGGCGGUUUAAUAAGUCGAAUGUUAAAGAUCGGGGCUCAACCCCGUAAAGCAUUGGAAACUGAUAAACUUGAGUAGUGGAGAGGAAAGUGGAAUUCCUAGUGUAGUGGUGAAAUACGUAGAUAUUAGGAGGAAUACCAGUAGCGAAGGCGACUUUCUGGACACAAGCUGACGCUGAGGUACGAAAGCGUGGGGAGCAAACAGG
rnacentral:rRNA from 1 species